GAUGAAGAACGUAGUGAAAUGCGAUAAGUAAUGUGAAUUGCAGAAUUCAGUGAAUCAUCGAAUCUUUGAACGCACAUUGCGCCCAUCAGUAUUCUGUUGGGCAUGCCUGUCCGAGCGUCAUUUCAACCCUCAGGGCCCGUUCGCGGGAACUGGUGUUGGGGAUCGGCCUCCCCCCGGAGGCCGGCCCCGAAAUGCAGUGGCGGCUCUACCGCGAUCUCCUCUGUGUAGUAGCGAUACCUCGCAGCUGGAUAGUGGUGGUGCCACGCCGUAAAAUCCCAACUUUACCAAGGUUGACCUCGGAUCAGGUAGGAAUACCCGCUGAACUUAAGCAUAUCAAUAAGCGGAGGA
rnacentral:misc_RNA from 1 species